GACGAACGCUGGCGGCGUGCUUAACACAUGCAAGUCGAACGGAAAGGCCCUGCUUUUGUUGGGUGCUCGAGUGGCGAACGGGUGAGUAACACGCGAGUAACCUGCCCUUGACUUUGGGAUAACUUCAGGAAACUGGGGCUAAUACCGGAUAUGAGCUCCUGCUGCAUGGUGGGGGUUGGAAAGUUUCGGCGGUUGGGGAUGUACUCGCUGCUUAUGAGCUUGUUGGUGUGGUAGUGGCUUACCAAGGCUUAGACGGGUAGCCGGCCUGAGAGGGUGACCGGCCACAUGGGGACUGAGAGACGGCCCAGAAUCCUACGGGAGGCAGCAGUGGGGAAUAUUGCACAAUGGGCGGAAGCCUGAUGCAGCAACGCCGCGUGCGGGAUGACGGCCUUCGGGGUGUAAACCGCUUUCGCAGGUGACGAAGCGUGAGUGACGGUAAUGGGUAAAGAAGCACCGGCUAACUACGUG
rnacentral:rRNA from 1 species